ACAACUUUCAACAACGGAUCUCUUGGCUCUCGCAUCGAAGAAGAACNCAGCGAAAUGCGAUAAGUAAUGUGAAUUGCAGAAUUCAGUGAAUCAUCGAAUCUUUGAACGCACCUUGCGCCCCUUGGUAUUCCGAGGGGCAUGCCUGUUUGAGUGUCAUUA
rnacentral:rRNA from 1 species